rnacentral:rRNA from 1 species
GCAGCAGGGGGAAAUUGCACAAUGGCGCAAGCCUGAUGCAGCAACGCCGCGUGAGGGAGACGGCCUUCGGGUUGUAAACCUCUUUUAGCAGGGAAGAAGCGAAAGUGACGGUACCUGCAGAAAAAGCGCCGGCUAACUACGUGCCAGCAGCCGCGGUAAUACGUAGGGCGCAAGCGUUAUCCGGAAUUAUUGGGCGUAAAGAGCUCGUAGGCGGUUUGUCGCGUCUGCUGUGAAAUCCCGAGGCUCAACCUCGGGUCUGCAGUGGGUACGGGCAGACUAGAGUGCGGUAGGGGAGAUUGGAAUUCCUGGUGUAGCGGUGGAAUGCGCAGAUAUCAGGAGGAACACCGAUGGCGAAGGCAGAUCUCUGGGCCGUAACUGACGCUGAGGAGCGAAAGGGUGGGGAGCAAACAGGCUUAGAUACCCUGGUAGUCCACCCCGUAAACGUUGGGAACUAGUUGUGGGGUCCAUUCCACGGAUUCCGUGACGCAGCUAACGCAUUAAGUUCCCCGCCUGGGGAGUACGGCCGCAAGGCUAAAACUCAAAGGAAUUGACGGGGACCCGCACAAGCGGCGGAGCAUGCGGAUUAAUUCGAUGCAACGCGAAGAACCUUACCAAGGCUUGACAUACACCAGAACACCGUAGAAAUACGGGACUCUUUGGACACUGGUGAACAGGUGGUGCAUGGUUGUCGUCAGCUCGUGUCGUGAGAUGUUGGGUUAAGUCCCGCAACGAGCGCAACCCUCGUUCUAUGUUGCCAGCACGUAAUGGUGGGAACUCAUGGGAUACUGCCGGGGUCAACUCGGAGGAAGGUGGGGAUGACGUCAAAUCAUCAUGCCCCUUAUGUCUUGGGCUUCACGCAUGCUACAAUGGCCGGUACAAAGGGCUGCAAUACCGUGAGGUGGAGCGAAUCCCAAAAAGCCGGUCCCAGUUCGGAUUGAGGUCUGCAACUCGACCUCAUGAAGUCGGAGUCGCUAGUAAUCGCAGAUCAGCAACGCUGCGGUGAAUACGUUCCCGGGUCUUGUACACACCGCCCGUCAAGUCAUGAAAGUCGGUAACACCUGAAGCCGGUGGCCCAACCCUUGUGGAGGAGCCGUCGA